rnacentral:rRNA from 1 species
CCUACGGGAGGCAGCAGUGGGGAAUUUUGGACAAUGGGCGCAAGCCUGAUCCAGCCAUGCCGCGUGUGGGAAGAAGGCCUUCGGGUUGUAAACCACUUUUGUCAGGGAAGAAACGGCUUUUUCUAAUACAGAGAGCUAAUGACGGUACCUGAAGAAUAAGCACCGGCUAACUACGUGCCAGCAGCCGCGGUAAUACGUAGGGUGCAAGCGUUAAUCGGAAUUACUGGGCGUAAAGCGUGCGCAGGCGGCUUUGCAAGACAGAUGUGAAAUCCCCGGGCUCAACCUGGGAACUGCAUUUGUGACUGCAUGGCUAGAGUACGGUAGAGGGGGAUGGAAUUCCGCGUGUAGCAGUGAAAUGCGUAGAUAUGCGGAGGAACACCGAUGGCGAAGGCAAUCCCCUGGACCUGUACUGACGCUCAUGCACGAAAGCGUGGGGAGCAAACAGGAUUAGAUACCCUGGUAGUCCACGCCCUAAACGAUGUCAACUGGUUGUUGGACGGCUUGCUGUUCAGUAACGAAGCUAACGCGUGAAGUUGACCGCCUGGGGAGUACGGCGCAAGGUUGAAACUCAAAUUGAAUUGACGGNUUGAGAGNGCGAGAGACACGAGGAGAGG